UGGGGAAUUUUGCACAAUGGGGGAAACCCUGAUGCAGCGACGCCGCGUGAUUUAGAAGGCCUUCGGGUUGUAAAAAUCUUUUCUAUGGGAAGAAAAUGACAGUACCAUAGGAAUAAGGACCGGCUAAUUACGUGCCAGCAGCCGCGGUAAUACGUAAGGUCCGAGCGUUGUCCGGAAUCAUUGGGCGUAAAGGGUACGUAGGCGGGUAAGCAAGUUAGAAGUGAAAUCCUGUAGCUCAACUACAGUAAGCUUUUAAAACUGCUCAUCUUGAGAUAUGGAAGGGAAAGUGGAAUUCCUAGUGUAGCGGUGAAAUGCGCAGAUAUUAGGAGGAAUACCGGUGGCGAAGCCGACUUUCUGGCCAUAUUCUGACGCUGAGGUACGAAAGCGUGGGUAGCAAACAGG
rnacentral:rRNA from 1 species